CGGGCUGAAGACUCUACUUUGACUAGCUGAGAGGAGGUGCAUUGGCCGUCGUCAGUUCGUACUGUGAAGCAUCCUGUUAAGUCAGGCAACGAGCGAGACCCACGCCAACAGUUUGCCAGCUCGUCCUCCGGGAUGGUGGGGACACUGUUGGGACCGCCUCUGCUAAAGAGGAGGAAGGAAUGGGCAACGGUAGGUCAGUAUGCCCCGAAUAUCCCGGGCUACACGCGAGCUACAAUGGUUGGUACAAUGGGUAUCUACCCCGAAAGGGGACGGGAAUCUCCUAAAACCAAUCUUAGUUCGGAUUGAGGGCUGCAACUCGCCCUCAUGAAGCUGGAAUCCGUAGUAAUCGCGUUUCAACAGAACGCGGUGAAUACGUCCCUGCUCCUU
rnacentral:rRNA from 1 species